rnacentral:rRNA from 1 species
GCAUAUCAUAGCGGAGGAAAAGAACCAACAGGGAUUGCCCUAGUAACGGCGAGUGAAGCGGCAACAGCUCAAAUUUGAAAUCUGGCGCAAGCCCGAGUUGUAAUUUGUAGAGGAUGUUUCUGGCGACGUGCCUUCCGAGUUCCCUGGAACGGGACGCCAUAGAGGGUGAGAGCCCCGUACGGUUGGAUGCCUAGCCUCUGUGAAACUCCUUCGACGAGUCGAGUAGUUUGGGAAUGCUGCUCUAAAUGGGAGGUAUACGUCUUCUAAAGCUAAAUACCGGCCAGAGACCGAUAGCGCACAAGUAGAGUGAUCGAAAGAUGAAAAGCACUUUGAAAAGAGGGUUAAAAAGUACGUGAAAUUGUUGAAAGGGAAGCGUUCAUGACCAGACUUGGGCAGGUUGAUCAUCCGUGGUUCUCCGCGGUGCACUCUGCCUGCCCAGGCCAGCAUCAGUUCGCCCCGGGGGAUAAAGGCUUUGGGAAUGUGGCUCCCUCGGGAGUGUUAUAGCCCACUGUGUAAUACCCUGGGGUGGACUGAGGUUCGCGCUCUGCAAGGAUGCUGGCGUAAUGGUCAUCAACGACCCGUCUUGAAACACGGACCAAGGAGUCGUCUUCGUAUGCGAGUGUUCGGGUGUCAAACCCCUACGCGUAAUGAAAGUGAACGUAGGAGAGAGCUUCGGCGCAUCUCCGACCGAUCCUGAUGUUCUCGGAUGGAUUUGAGUAAGAGCAUACGGGGCCGGACCCGAAAGAAGGUGAACUAUGCCUGUAUAGGGGUGAAGCCAGAGGAAACUCUGGUGGAGGCUCGCAGCGGUUCUGACGUGCAAAUCGAUCGUCAAAUAUGGGCAUGGGGGGCGAAAGACUAAUCGAACCUUUCUAGUAGCUGGGUUUCCGCCGAAG